rnacentral:lncRNA from 1 species
GUGUGUGACGGGGUACUUGGAGGGGAGAGGUGGUUGAUAUUUGGAUGUAAAAUUAAUACAUAAAUAAAAUUUAAAAAAUGAUUGUCUUUCUAAGAGUAGUGGAAGGAAACUCCUUGGAAUCUAUGCACAUGGCUUUAGCAAAGACUCCUUUUAAUAGGGAAUAAGAAGCCUGAACAUCUCCCGUGGCCAGCUUCCUGUAAGGAACUUGGGCCAUUGCCAUACUGUCAUCAAAUGAAAAUGAAGCAUCACUGACAGAAAGGUAUCUCUCUAAGGUGGGACCGUUCAGAAGAGCACAGGCCACAGAAGCAACAGGGUUUCUGGAACAAUGUCCUAUGGGUCAAUAUCUGCAGCCAGGAGGUAGAGCUGCUCCUCAGUCCUCUGUGCACCUUCCCUGCCAGAGGAGAGCUUUCCAUCCAGGGAAUGCUCUGACCACAGGACUCAGAAGCAUUCACCAGGACACAGGAAUCAGGCAUUUUGUAGUUAUUGUGAAGGAUCCUUAUUUGGAAAUGGCAAACUGUCAAGUAAAAAUGAUGACAUUGGUCUGUACCGCCAAAAUAUAAAAGAUGGAAAUUUGGUCAAAUAUACAGGCAUAAAUGGAAAGAGGGAAGAAAAUAUGCAGACACUAUACAGCACAUGGUCCAAGCUCGGAAUUUUGCAAGCCUACAAAAAAAUCAGGACUGAUCAAUACAGGGAAUGAAUACUUUCAGGUAUACUUCUAAAAUUAACAAUAAAUUUCUGACACUUAAGAAACUCCAAUUAUGGAACUUUGUUAACAUAGUCUUAGAAAACAAACUCAUGUACUUAAAACAUGGCAAUGUACGUAUACAAAUAGCUAUGAAAUGGCAUAUUUGAAUAUGUAACACACAAUUUUAAGCUUUUAGUUUGUGAGUUAUCUAUAGUAAGAACUUUCAACAUCAGAUAAAAAUGGGAAAUGCUUUUCACAUAACUUAUAGAAGAUAUGUGAAGAAUUCUAGGGAAAUAUUUACCUACAAAAAGGAAAGCUGGGAGACUGUCAAAGUUUGGAAUCUCUUAAAGUUUACGUAAUCUGAUUACUUUAUUCUAUUUCUGGGCUAGAUAACGAUUUUUUUUAAUCAGCAUUAUGCUAACAUAUCUUCAUCUGUUCUCACUGAAUUAUUUUCUUAGCUCUUAUGUAACUCUGCAUAUGCUCUUCUGUUUUUUCCAGUUGUUAUUUUGGGGACUAUGGUCAAUUUUAAUUUUGAAUAUAAAUAUAUUGAGUUUUUGUUCAUUAUCUGAGGUUUCAUGUAUUUUCUUUUUGGAAAGGUGAAAAUAUCUUUUUCCACUCUGUUUAACAUCAAUUUUCUAGGAAUGGAAGUAACACUACCUUUUAAUAAUUUUUGGUCUAUCAGUAGAUGAAAAUGUCAUAGUUCUUCAGCUUUUUAAAAUAUGAUUAUGAUAGUGUGUGAUAUUUCUACCUUGCCUUUUGCUAUUAAUUUUUAAUUCAUCAAUAUAUGUUUAAUGAUUUUCAUAAAAGCACUAAUAUAUUUUAAUAGUGUUUUAUUUAAUCAUAGCUACAGCUUUCUAUAUUAAAAAAUUGGCCUACAAUUUUCUAAUAAUGAUGCUUUAUUCAUGAUAAUAAAGAUGCUUUGGCCCUAAGUACCUGCCUAGGCCAUGCUUAUAUAUGGUAUUAGCAUUUUACUGUCUGGCAGGUCUUCAUGAUCUUUAGUGAGUCAAACAUAAAUUGCUUUCCAAGCUGUAAAAUAGAUUGAAGAUUUGAAAAGCAUUCUAAUGAGAACAAAUAAAAAACUGAGCAUAUGUAAAUUUGAGUCUUCAGUUUAAGGAAGGGAUAAACAUACAUGAUAUGUAGGUAUAGAAAGUACUGUCUCCCAAUGUAGAUAGUUAAAGAAGAAUUGGAAAAUUGAUAAGGUAGUCACUAAUUUUAAUAUCAGCAAUAUAAUAAUAUAUAUGAAUUGUUAAAGAAUCAUUGAAGAGAUUUACUACAAAAAUAGAAGUCAGAGCUGACAGAGACAUUUGUUUACAUGUAUAUUAACCUCAGACAUGAGCAUAGUCUCUAGAAUCCUACUGACUCUGUUUCAUGUUUUAAAUAAAUUACUAAAUAAAUUACUAUUCUAAUGCCUUUGGUCU